UUAAGGGGUCUGAAUACUUUCCGAAUGCACUCUAUAUCACUUUGAAAUUGGAAUAAGUGGUAAAGAAUAGUGAAAAAACGAAUUGUGUUUGUUCAUCUCUAAAAAUCCCAACCAGCGCCUGAUGCGUUGGACUUUGUUCUUGCAACCAUUCAACCUUGAUAUUAGACACAUUAGUGGUAAGGAUAAUAUCAUUGCUGAUGCUCUGUCCCGUGCUCCUUUAACCUAGUUUGUAUCUUCUCUCUGCUGACCCCUACGGGCUGUCUGCGCCUCUUUCCUCUUAAAUUGCUCCCCAGGUACCAGGGCUGCCGAGUUUGAGGGGCGGACAGUCAGCUGGGGGACACGGGGCUACUGCUAGGAGCCGGGACUGGUAUCCUUUUUUUUUCUUUUGGGGGAACUUUGGAUUGUUUUGAAUAUGUUGGGCCGAAAUUUGGGUUGAGGGUGGGACCCUCAUUUUAAGGAGGGGGGUGUCACGGCCCCUCCUCUGCAUUGCAGGGGCGGUUCCUCCUGCAGGCAGAGGAGGGUCGUUAGUGAUUGGAGUCACAUGGGCUCAGGGUAUUUAAACUGCUUCACUAACCACUCUUGUCUCUCUCUCUGCUCCUCCAGGUAUGAUCCUGUUUUGUUUGUUCCUUUGUAGUUUUACAUAAUUUUCACUCAGUCAUGUUCACACACACAGAUUCACGCAUCCCUGCACUUUAUAUACAUCCUACAUUAUGAUACUUUCACACCUCAUUCCCUUUUCUUCGUUUAAAGUUCAUAGUUUUUGGUUUAUAACAAAGAACCUUUUUGAUUGGCCUAUACCUGUUGUUCGUGUCCCCUCAUUUUUGCCACAGGCUAUGAGCCGGCCUGUGACAGUAUGAAUUUCCAGUUAACUUGAUUGGAGAUGUAUCUGAUGAGGAGAGCGAAGAUCCAGAAGUCCAGAAGGACAUUAAGACAUUUUAAGUACUUGACAAAAUCCUGGCUUCAAGGAUCUCAAAUGGAAAAGGGAAGGAGUUCCAUCAACUAUGGAAGGAACUAUUGCAGCUAAAACCCAACAUAUAUUCAGAAUGUGCAGAUGAAGCAGAAAAUACAAGGAUAUUUUUGGUCCUGGCUCCUUCCAGUAUUCAUGGAUCCAAUGAAGAAGUGGACUUUGUUCCUGUGUUUGUGACUCAAGUGCCUGACAAAGAGUAUGAGACACAACACAAGUGGAGGAAAGUGAAUUUGUUUAAAUAUGCUGGAACAUAAUUAUAGAUGGUAACAAUUUACAUAAUUAAUUUGCUCAUAACCCAAAGACGUGGAUGUCGAUUAAGGCAGCCCCCACACCUCUCUGAUUCAGAGGGGCUGGGUUAAAUGCGGAAGACACAUUUCAGUUGAAGGCAUUCAGCUGUACAACUGACUAGGUAUCUCCCUUUCCUAUGUAGGCCAAUUUAUACUAACUACUCCUGUAACAAUGUUAGUCUUACAAUGCAGUUGUAUUAUUCUACACUAGAUGGCAAUAUAACCCUAGGAAACAAUGUAACUGCGUUGUACUUUCACUGUAUUCUGUUUUUUCUUGGUUCUUUGAUUUCUGAAAACACCACAUAGGCAACCAGUUUCCCAUUAAACUGUCCAUGAACAACUUUCCCAUA